CAAUAGGUGCCACUAUCGGGCUCCUACUCCCGGGACCCCCCUAUAUAUUAUCACCUAUAUUGUUAUUAAGACUAGCAGGACAUUCCUUCCUUGUGUCUCCCCCGGCUACCGCAUGGGACCCUGCAGGGUUACGCCCGCUUUUUCCACCUUGGCGGGACCUGUCUAGAUUUUCUCCUGAGGAAGCGGAUUUUUCCGCGAAACUAGUUGAGACUGCCAUAACCCUCAACCCAUCGUGUUUUUCUCCUCAUCGGGGGAUCUUCAG